AAAGAAUUAGUUUCAAAAAAAACAAUAACUUGUCAAGUUAUAAAUACUUAAUAGUAUUCUUUA
rnacentral:tRNA from 1 species